GACACAGAGUCGCUGUAAUGAAUGCUUGGGAAGAUAUGGAACGAAAGGAUCCCAGUGAUUAAUGCCAAAGCCCCAUUGCCUGGGGAGAAGGUGAUGUUUGACUUCCUUGUACAGCUGCAGUUUGUGUGGUGAAGGUGCUCCCACAAUGUGGUUGGGUGGACAUUCAGAUGGUAACCUCAGAAUUUGUAACACCAAACUCUGACAGAAUUACUCAAUUCAUCAGGACCUGCAUAUUUGCAUUUAGUUGAAUAUGACAGGCUCCAUUGGACAUCUGGUCAGAAAAGGUGACACUUGGUUGGUCGAUGUUUUUGGGAGGGUACUGAAAGGGUGGCUUUGUGGAUGAGAAAUUCAAAUUGAGCUUCAUGUUCAGACCUGAUGGUUACUGGAUCCGUGCCGAUCUGAAUAUCAUUGACCUUUUCAUCUGGACAAUAUUUCAAAUGUCAGUGCGUCUGGAAGAAUUACUGCGACACAGUCAAGUCCAUGUUAGCAAAGUUUGUAGCUUUGAAUGGAGGCUGUUUAUCAGGGUUAUCUCCAUGGCAACGGCAGUUUAAAAAGUCUAGUUCAAUUCAGCACAUUGUUUUCACAUCGCACCCCUCCCCCACACCCCCAUGGCUCACUUCAGUACCUGACAGGCGCUUCAGUUUCUGUGGGAUAGUCUGUCAGGAUUCUGAUGUGGAGGAGACGGUGUUGGAGUGGGGUGGACAAAGUUAUAAAUCUCACAACACCAGAUUAUAGUCCAACAGGUUUCUUUUUGGAAGCACUAGCUUUCCGAGCACGGCGUAACUUUUAACUUUAUCAGGUCUCACUCUAUGAUGACAGACUUCUUCAGUUAAGUACUUCAAUAAUUAGUGGGCGGCACGGUGGCACAGUUGUUAGCACUGCUGCUUCACAGCGCCAGAGAUCCGGGUUCAAUUCCCGUCUCUGGUGACUGUGUGUUAGGUGAAGGGGUAAAUUUAGUAGAAAGUUUCUUGGUGCGUUACGCUUCGGCGGGUCGGUGUGGACUUGUUGGGCCGAAGGGCCUGUUUCCACACUCUAAGUAAUCUAAUCUAAUUACAGAGGCCACAUAUUCCCCUCUAGCAGUAUCAACUGCUGUUCUGGCCCUCGGGUAAGCUACUCGUCACUUUUUAUCCCCAAUCCCAUCUAGUUUUCUGUUGAUCUUUAAAGUUUUUUCUAAUCUCCUAGUUUCUCGCUGAUCAUUGCCAAUUUGUAUGCCUUCUAUUACAAUUUGAUAUACUCCCUGAUUUCCUUAGCCACCCAUGGCAGAUUACUCCUUUUCCUACAAUCCUUCCUUUCACUGAUAUAUACUUUUGCUCAGCACUUUGAAAAAUUGCAUUGAUAUUUCUGCACUGGCCGUCAACUACCCCAUCGUAAAUUCUUUGCUUCCAGUUUACGUUAGCCAACUCCUGUCUCAUCCUAUUGUAGUCUCCUUUGCUUAAGCACAGGAUCUUGGGACUGGAUUUAAUCUUCCCGCUUUCCAUCUGUAUUCUAAAUUGAUCCAUACUUAUCACAAGUCCUUUAUCAGAUUAUAAGGUGAGGGGAUGUUUCCUGGGUGUUUUGGUUUUCAUUGUCAGUGACCUUAGCUUUGUAAUGAAGUACAGGAUAGAUAUUCACAACAGAGUAUUCUGGACGGUGUAAAUGUCCUCACAGUCUAAAACCAUAAAUCACUGUCUCCCCUGAGUUUAAAAUUGCAAAAUCAUUAUCUCCUACAUGCUUCCUCACUAUCUAAGUUUGGACCACUAAUCCACCUGAUUAUCCUGCAUUUUCGAAAAAUCUCCUUGGGUGAAUGUGGUGAUUUUUGGAUUCAGCUUUCCAGUUAUUAUUGUAAGAAGAUGAGCACUGGGCACAUGGGGACUACAACGCCCACAAUCCCUGAGGCGGGGACCACAAGUGUGUGGGGAAGCCUGGCACUGUAAAUGUACAGAAUGUGGGCGGGUUUUGGAGCAUGGGCUUUGGGGUAACUAUCGGAAAGUAGUUCACACUGUGAUUGGCUGGAGGACGAACAUAUCGGUUUGGGGGCGGGGGGGUCAAAGUGUCACUGCACCCAUGUGGGGCCAAAGGCCAUCCCCAACUCGUCAUAACACUGGGAAUCGACCAAUGGGAAACAAAGAAGGAUCUGACCCAUUCUCCCAGACUGAAGGUUCCUCUUCUGUCCAGGAUCUGCCACCUCCCUUUCUGUUCCCUUUUGUGUCAUUCUGCUGUUACAUUGACUUGCAGCAACUGAAGGGAAAGGAAGUGAACCCAGAAAGGGUGCAGAGUCUAACCAGGGACGGGAAGUGGUGGCAUGGAUCUGUUUAUCAGCAACUCCAUGAGAAUGGGGAGGGUGUACAUUAGGGGGUAGCAGAGUCAGAAUGGUGGGAGAGAGUAAGUGGGCUGGAGGGUUACAGCUUUGGGGGAAGAAAGGGGUAAUAGAUAUUCCACAGAAACUAGAAUUGUCUGUUCUGAAUUUCUAAUCUAUACAUAUUCCUUUAUACAGGGGGCUAGAUGGUGAGGGUUUGCAAACUGAAAUCUCAAAAUUAAGUGCAGGUCGUGAUUAAGUUAACUAGCAUUUGAAGAACCAAAGAUAGAGAAUCACUCGGACAAAAUCCUGCAACACUCUCCCUCACAGUAUUGUCGGUAUAUCUGUGCCAAAUGGGCUGUGAAUGGUACAAGACAGCAGCUCUCUACCACCUUCUCAAGGAUAACUAGAGAUGGGGAAUAAAUGCUGGCUGAGCCAGUGAUGCCCAUAUCCUGGAAAUGGGUUCUAUCUCUAGUUGCUGAAAUCCUAUUGAUGUUACUGCAGGAUGAUGAGGGAUGCUGAGUGCAUCCUCCAGGAGGCAGCACCAUCACAUUACCCCUGCCUACAACCACACAGUAACACCGCAACGUCACUGGAACAAAAGGCAGUGAAGCCCAAGGAGGACUUAGAUAUAGUACUUCGAGGUAAAGUCAUGAAAGGGGAUUGGAACAUAGCAGGAACAGGAGACUGAGCUGGAUGGUCAGCUGUUACCCAUUGAAUGGUGGAGCAGGAUUGAAAGGCUGAAUGGUCUCCUCCUGCUGCUAUCUCCCAGGUAUGUAUAUAGUCAUGACGCCCGGGUAGGAAGGAGUGGGCAGGGAUUCUCCAGGAGAUUGCACUUCCACAACAGGUUUCAGUGAGGGAUGGUUUGAUAGAGUUUAUUUUACUAUUUUACAUUUUAAAAUAAAAACACAUUUGCAAACCUUGUAUUAAAGUU